GAUGGUGAUCUGCGAAGAGGUGGAUUAUGCUAAUUAGUAAUUUUAAAACCGUUUUCAAGAUUAAAAUGUUGGAUAAAGUUGCCGCAUCGUCUGCGUGUUUCCAAAGAAGUAAAAUUGAGAGGCUGACACCUUUCAGCAUAAGUCUAACAUUAGCAAAAUAUUUGAAAAGUCCUGGUUAUAUACAGAUCAACAAUAAAAGAAAUGGUUAAACUGACAGAAGAAAUUUAAAAAAACUACAGUUAGAAAGCUGUCACUGCACUUUGAUGGUAUUACUCAAAAAGACUAUCAAGUGUUAAAAGUUUAACAAAGAGAAGAUAAGUUACAAGAACUAGAUCUACCAGAUGGAAUAGCAGAUAUUGUUUUUAAAAUUGAUGCAUUGAUUCUUGACAGGCUGUUAAUUUUAUAGACGCUAAAGAUGAACUUGUUUUCAAUAUGACUAAGGACAUGUAAGAAUAAUUGCCCUUUCUACCUACACUUUCAGGCAUUGGAGGAUGGACAAACAUUAAUCUUGCAAGACUUAAACAAUACACAUAAUCACAAAGUAUCUGAAAACACAACGUGUCCUCUUUGGUAAUGUUGCAUCAGUUUGGAAACAGGUAACUUGUGGCAUUCCUCAGGGCUCAGUUCUUGGUCCAACACUGUUUAUAGUCUAUAUUAAUGACUUACCAAAAUACAUUAACAGCAAAAAUAAAUGCAAAAUGUACGCAGUUGACACAAAAGUCCUCAGUGUAGUUAACACAUUAGAAAGCAAACUUGGUCUGCAAGCUGACAUUGAUAAUAUUGUCAAUUGGAUCCAAUUACGGCUCAUGCAACUUAACAUCAAAAAAUGUAAAGUUAUGCACAUCAAAAUAUCCAAAUCUGUCCUUCACAUCUACUUCAUCAAUGAAAACAACUACAAUAGCAGAGUCAAAAGAAUCCAGCUAGAAACAACAACAUUGGAAAAAGACCUUGGUGAUCAACUAUCUGUUGAUUUAAAGUACAAAAGUCAAGUGUUCACCGCUGCUGCUAAAGCUAACAAAGUCUUAGGUAUGUUGAAGCAUACCUUUGUUAGCAAAGUAGUAAAAAUCUGGAAAAACCUCUAUACAACAUACGUACGUCCACAUCUAGAAAAUCCUAUCACCACCUGUUGCCCUCACCUUAAAAAAAACAUUACUGAAAUUGAACAAAUUCAACAUCGUGCCACA